rnacentral:lncRNA from 1 species
UGCUCAUGGGCGCAGUGGAAGGGUACAGAAUUGCUGGGGGUCCGUUGGGUGAAAUCACUGACCCGAUUUACCCAGGUGGGAGCUUUGAUCCAUUGGGGCUGGCUGAUGAUCCAGAGGCAUUCGCGGAAUUGAAAGUGAAGGAGCUUAAGAAUGGUAGAUUGGCUAUGUUCUCGAUGUUCGGAUUUUUCGUACAAGCAAUUGUAACUGGGAAAGGGCCAUUGGAGAAUUUGGCUGAUCACUUGGCUGACCCUGUUAACAACAAUGCUUGGGCCUAUGCUACUAACUUUGUACCUGGAAAGUGAGGUGUAAGUUGUUAGUGUAAUUGUGUGUGUGUUCUCUUCAUGUGCCCACGGAUUCUUGUUUUUAAUGCAUCCUUUUAUAAUGUGUUUAUUAUUAUAGUUUUAUGUUUGUUAAUGGAAUUCUCAACUUUUUAAUUGGGUGUGUGUUGUGAAUGUUAACUAAUCUUACAUUUUUGUUGAUUUUCUUGUUCCACCUUUUAUCAUCAACUGCAUUUUCAGGAACAGUAUAAAUCCACCUUAGAUUUUGUAGACUAUUAAGUAUUCUAAAACAAAUCUAUUUUAUGUGAUACAUGUUUUAACAUUUUAACUUCCAUUCAAACAUCAUCACAAUGAAAUGAUUCAGUAAAUAAGGUUCAAAUACUUUAUUGGGUAUGUGUGUUUGAAGAAACUAAUAGUGAAAUAUAUGGAAGACAAUACAUGAAGAUCGUGGAUUCUUGCGUUGUCCAUUUUAUUUUGGAAAUGAAUGAAUACGCUUAACUCAUUGUUUCUUGGGUUUUGAUGUAAAUAUGUAGAGUACAUGAUUGAGUUUGAGAGAGCUUGAGUGGGAGUAUCAUAACUCACCAGAUAUGUUAAAAUUAAUUGGAGAAGGACAAUAGUUUUGGAAGAAAUGGUGAAAAUAGGUGGUUCAAACUCGCUCACCACAUAAACCUAUAAUUUUUUUACAAAGUAUUGGAAGAAUUCUCUCAAGAGCUACAACACUCCAUAACUUCUUAAUUGAACGUCUCAUAUAAGCUUUUUCCUCGAAAAUUCAUUCAAAGAUGCCCUCGAAAAUUUCUUUAAAGAUGCAAACUUUUUUUCAAGACUUUAACUUCAAGAACAUCAACUCUACUUAUUCAAAUCAAACAUAACCAUCUAACCAAGAGAAAAUAAAAGAAUCAAAUACUAGAAAUCGAACCACAUUACAUCAAAACAACACAAAUACAACCAACACAAGUUCAACUUUAGAAAUUAAAUUUCUCUGAAAAUCUCGUACCAACAAAUAUCAUACAUUUUCUUUUCAUAUUUUUAACAAUACUAAAUUUAAUAAAAUUUAGGGGUUUUUUCAAAAAAAAUUAUUUACACUACCACAGAACAAACCCAACAAAAUUCAUUACAUUUAACUUUUAUAUGAAAGGUAAAUAUUUUGUCAAAAUGUUCUAUUUUUUUUUAUAAUUUUCUUAAUAUAAUUUAUUACUUAUUUAAACAUUUUUUUACAUGUUAAUAAAUUAUUAUAUGUAAAUAAAGAAUAUUGCUUUCUUAUAUAUAUCAUAUUGACCAAUUUUAUAUUUAUAGAUAUAGCGGAGUAGCUAAAACUUUCUAUUUUAGUAUUUUAUCAUUUUGUUAAUAAACUAAUAGAUUAAAAAUCUAAAACCUUGUUUUUUUUU